rnacentral:rRNA from 1 species
GACGAACGCUGGCGGCGUGCUUAACACAUGCAAGUCGAACGGAAAGGCCCUGCUUUUGUGGGGUGCUCGAGUGGCGAACGGGUGAGUAACACGUGAGUAACCUGCCCUUGACUUUGGGAUAACUUCAGGAAACUGGGGCUAAUACCCGAUAGGAGCUCCUGCUGCAUGGUGUGGGAUGGAAAGUUUCGGCGGUUGGGGAUGGACUCGCGGCUUAUCAGCUUGUUGGUGGUGUAGUGGCUUAACAAGGCUUUGACGGGUAGCCGGCCUGAGAGGGUGACCGGCCACAUUGGGACUGAGAUACGGCCCAGACUCCUACGGGAGGGAGCAGUGGGGAAUAUUGCACAAUGGGCGGAAGCCUGAUGCAGCAACGCCGCGUGCGGGAUGACGGCCUUCGGGUUGUAAACCGCUUUCGCCUGUGACGAAGCGUGAGUGACGGUAAUGGGUAAAGAAGCACCGGCUAACUACGUG